CACAGUUUUGCACGGGGGCUCUGUGUUUCUUAAACUGUCGCCAGUAAACAAAAGCUGUGCAUGGGUGUGUUUGCAGUUUCUCAUGACUGCACUCACACAGCAUCGGAAACACUGGCUUGACUCUAUAGCCUUAGUUUCAAAUGCCCCCUAAAAGGCUCUACAAAAUGGUGUCAGCAAACUAUGUGAAAGUCAUCAAGAACAAACAAACUAAAUUUCAUGCCUCUUGGUUUAAGGCUACCUGUUUAAGAAGGCAGCAGAUCUGAUUCAGCUGUGUACCAUUCUGUGGGUUCUCUACAACCCUCAAACAUCCACGUACAGGGUCGCAGUCUCUCUGCUGGUGCAGAGCACUUGGCAAAAGAUAGCUUCCACUGAGUGCUCCAUGCUCUCCCACAAGCCCUCCUGGAACCAGAGAACUUGGCAAGAUUAAGGAUGUUGUUAAAAAAGGAUGUUCUGAGCCAAACUUGUCCAGUGAGAUAGUGGCCGGAAGGAAACUAGUAAACUAAACUUGGCACAUUGAUGCCUCUCAUUGGCACACCUGCAGCCACCAUGUUGUGAUGAUCCUCAAACAGCCCUGUGGAGAGGCCAAUGCAUGAAGAGGCCAUGUGGAAAGGAACAAACUUGCCAGCCGGAUGAGUGAGCCACCUUGAAAGCAGAUUCUCCUGCCUCAGUCAAAACUUCAGAUGAUUCCUGGCCCCAAUCUCAAAGUCUUUCAGCUGAGACCUCAGAUAACGUGAAGAAACGAACCAUCUCUGCUGUGCCCUAUUUGAAUAUCUGACCCACAGAAACCAUGAAAUAAUAAAUUGUUCUUUCAAACGACUAAGUUUUGGGAUGAUUUAUUAUGCAGCAAUAGAUAAUUAAUACAGAGGAGUCAGAAAGGCAAGAGAGAAAUUAAGAGAG
rnacentral:lncRNA from 1 species